GCCAGGCAUGAUGGCUCAUGCCUGUAAUCCCAGCAUUUUGGGAGGCCGAGGCAGGAGGAUCACUUGAGCCCAGGAGUUCUAGACCAACCUGAGCAACAUAGAGACCCCCCCCAUCUCUACAAAAAAUUUAAAAACUCAGUGGAGGCCAGGCACAGUGUCUCACACCUGUAAUCCCAGCACUUUGGGAGGCUGAGGGGGGCAGACCUCUUGAUCUCAGGAGUUCAAGACCAGCCUGGGCAAAAUAGCAAAACUCUGUCUCU
rnacentral:sRNA from 1 species